rnacentral:rRNA from 1 species
UACGAAGGACCCGAGCGUUAUCCGGAUUUAUUGGGUUUAAAGGGUGCGUAGGCGUCCUGGAAAGUUACGGUUGAAAUCUCCUUGCUUAACAAGGAAACUGGCCGUAAAACUAUCAGGAUUGAGUACAUUUGAAGCGGGCGGAAUGUGUCAUGGUAGCGGUGAAAUGCUUAGAUAUGACACAGAACACCAAUUGCGAAGGCAGCUCGCUAAACUGUAACUGACGCUGAAGGCACGAAAGCGUGGGGAUCAAACAGG